UACGAGAGGCCCAAACGUUAUUCGGAAUUACUGGGCUUAAAGAGUUCGUAGGCGGCAUGAAAAGCAGGGUGUGAAAGCCCUCGGCUCAACCAAGGAAUUGCGCUCUGAACUGUCGUGCUUGAGGAACCUAGAGGUGAGCAGAACAGAUGGUGGAGCGGUGAAAUGCGUUGAUAUCAUCUGGAAUACCGGAGGCGAAGGCGGCUCACUGGGGGUUUUCUGACGCUGAGGAACGAAAGCCAGGGUAGCGAACGGG
rnacentral:rRNA from 1 species